rnacentral:rRNA from 1 species
UUAUGACGGGCGGCGGCCUACACAUGCAGUCGAGCGGUAGAGAGAAGCUUGCUUCUCUUGAGAGCGGAGGACGGGUGAGUAAUGCCUAGGAAUCUGCCUGGUAGUGGGGGAUAACGCUCGGAAACGGACGCUAAUACCGCAUACGUCCUACGGGAGAAAGCAGGGGACCUUCGGGCCUUGCGCUAUCAGAUGAGCCUAGGUCGGAUUAGCUAGUUGGUGAGGUAAUGGCCCACCAAGGCGACGAUCCGUAACUGGUCUGAGAGGAUGAUCAGUCACACUGGAACUGAGACACGGUCCAGACUCCUACGGGAGGCAGCAGUGGGGAAUAUUGGACAAUGGGCGAAAGCCUGAUCCAGCCAUGCCGCGUGUGUGAAGAAGGUCUUCGGAUUGUAAAGCACUUUAAGUUGGGAGGAAGGGCAUUAACCUAAUACGUUAGUGUUUUGACGUUACCGACAGAAUAAGCACCGGCUAACUCUGUGCCAGCAGCCGCGGUAAU